GAACCUGAACAGGGCACCUAAACCCCAGAGCAGACUGGGCUGUAGCACACCCUUUUCCCCUUGCUGCCUAAUUUAGGUACAGUGCCCUGUUGGGUUUUUUUUUGUCCAGUGACCAGGCCAAGAUAUCAAAUCAGGCAUUUCUGUUUCCCAAAGAAUUAGCUCUAGCCAAUUUUUUUUCAUAUAUUUCCUUUAUUAAUUACUAAAGAACCAGGGCUGCUGCUAAUGGAAAUGUGUCACACAGUAUUUUUUAAGUAAUUUCAUAAAAUUUACCAGAAGAAAAAGAUCAAAUAGUUUUUUUGUCCUCUUACAAGAAGAUAAUACAGAAGGGAAAGGAAAUGUUUAGUGCCUCACCAAUCUUUUUCAGCACACUGUGUGCUUCACUUUGCUUUCUGAGGGUGUCUGGUUGUCCUGCGGGGUUCCUGUGUACUGACAAGUGCUCUGUCUGUGGCUGAGAGCCCUGCUAGCAUCAGCUGUUUUCAUUUCCCAUUACAACAGAGGUAAAUAAUAGAAUUUCCCAUAUUUCUCCUAUAUAUAGGUCCCUGGUAUCAAAGAGGCUUUAUGGUGGUGUUCGUUGCCUCUUUCUCCUGGUCCACUUUGGAGCUGUAAGAGGACACACGUGCCAUUUGAAUCUUGGAAAGAAAAACUAGGAGAUAGUGUAUGGGAUGCUAAGGUACAGGCCCAAGGCAGACAGUCCCCAGGUUGUCUUCCAGCCUUGCGACAGCAAGAUUGGUAGCUGAUGUAUUGCUUCUCUAUCCUGAGAUGUGCAGGCUCCAAAUUGUCCUGGUGUAUCCAAGUCUUUGUGAGCCCCAAGAACACUUUCUGGCUGUGAUCUAAGGCAGGGGGAAGAAAAGAUGCCUUGAGACUUCUCUCUUGGCACCCCAGCUGACGUUACACAUCUGCAAGAGCGGCUCCCGGAAUACAGGAUCAUGCAGCAGGGCCAGGAACAGAGGAGGACAGGAACAGUAUUUGGUCAGGUGUGCAGCUGUUGAAUGGUCAGGUCUGUAAAGAGAGAAACCUGUUAGUGCAAGCUUGACUGUCGUUCUCCAGUCGUUUUCAGUGCAUGGAUGAAUCCAUACUCUUAAUUUCAACUUCUCCCAAUGGCCACAUGUCUGCCAUAACCUGUGAACGCCCACCUUGCAGUCACAGUGUGCGGUGCAGUUGCGUGCCCAAGCAAGGGGAAUGGGCUUGUUGUCCAUGCUUGCAUUCAGGUAGAAAAAAAAUAUAGGAAAAGCAACACCAAGAUGGUUGUGAGCAUGGUGCUAAGCAUGUACUUCAGGCUGAGCUUUGAACAGAGGGACAUGCUGGAGUAUGCCUUAUUGUAGUGUUUUCACCUCCUGUUUUCAGGCAGAGGUCAGCGUUCACAUCUUAUGUAAAUAAAUUGGCCUCCUGACAGCAAAAACAUUGCAAGGCCACGUAUACAGACUCACUGCUCAGACAGCAGUGCAGGGAAUGCAGCUGCCAGGAAGAGAAGGUGGAGCUCAGCAGAUGGAUCUAGAUGGGAAGGAGGUCCAGUGUUGGAAGUCCAGUGCUGGAAACCUGACAAGUAAUGAGAGCUGGAAGGGAGUCCAGUUUCUCCAGUGAUUCUAAACAUCGUAGCAGAGCCAAGUUUAAGUAAGUCUGAGGAGUGCCUGGAGGCCCAGGCUAUGUUGCAACACCUAUUUGCUAUGUGCAGGACAUACUUUCAGGAGACCAUUUCCAUCUGGAAUAGCUUCUUCUGCACACACUAAGUAUCAGUGAGAAGAAAGAGACUGAUCACGCUGCACUGGAACAGAGAAGAUGCAUAGUUUACCCAAGGCUGUAACUGAGAAAGUCCUCUAUAGAGCUGUAUGGACAGCCUCGCUCUCAAGCCAUGUGGAUAGACAGCAGAACUGAUCAGCUGAUGUUUUUGCAUGGAGAAAGAAAAGAGUGCAUAUGCCUGAAACAACCUGUGCUAAACAUGGUGAUACAAGUGGCAAUUCCACUUGUUCAGAAGGCAGCCUGAUCAUGGGAGACUUAAGAGUUUUUGUUCAUGUCUUUGCUAAUGAUCCCUUUAAUUACUAGCUAUAAAUCAUAUGGUAUGAAAAUAUCACCAUUCUCAUUUCAAGAAGAAAGAUUUUGUAAUGCUUUCUCACUGUGUAAUAUGUAUGGAUUUAGGGCUCUGUGGAUUAAAUUUGGCAAUUUCAGGCAUGCAAGGUUACUAAUCCGUACUUUGUCUACAAAAAAAUAGAAAGAAGAAGCAAGGCAGCCUUGUGCCCUGGGGAUGGCUGGGGAAUUCCACACAUGCCUGUCUUCUGUAACUCUUGUCAAGGGUGAAAACAUUAACAUCAGUGUUGCAAUAGUUACAGGCAGACCGAAGGGGCACACUUGAAGCAAACAUACGUGGUUUCGUUAAGUACUUCUCUGUUUUCACCUCACGGUUAUUUUUUUGACAUCUCUGUUCUUCCAGUUUCCUGAUGUUUUAAAGAAUGUAUUUGUCACAUUUAAUUCUGUUUUCCUGUAAUAACUUCAUCCACAGAGACUUCUCUUGGAGAACGGCCCAGAGAUUUUUCUGUUUCUUCUUACAUUUCUAUUUUCUCUGCAUCUGCUAUUACAUCAUUUAUAUGGGUUACAUACACAUAAUUUUAGUUUUUAUGUCAGAGUUAUAAUGCCACAAUCAGGCUGUCGAAAUGGCUAAGUCCUGAGGAAUUUAUUUAGGCAGGAUUUGCACAGAAUUUUGUGUGAUUGCUUCAAUAAGUUGAAUGCUGCAAUAUUUCUGGUAGGUAUGCAAAAAUAAUAUAGGUAUAAGAAUAGAGCAUCAGUAAAAAUCAUUUCAGCAGUCACUAAAGUGAACCACAUUGUGCAGCUUUAACAAGGUCAGUGACGAACUAGAAGGAAGCAAGGAAUCUUGAUUUUGGCUUCAGUUUUCAACUCUUGACCACACUUCUUUGCUGUAUAAUUAUACUAUUUACUGUUAAAUUUCAUUUAAUAUUGAACUGAGUAAAUGCUAUAAUUACUGAAUUUAAUAAAUUC
ensembl:lncRNA